GGUGAGUAACGCGUGAGGAACCUGCCUUUCAGAGGGGGACAACAGUUGGAAACGACUGCUAAUACCGCAUGCUGAAAGAUGGCCUCGCGUCUGAUUAGAUAGUUGGCAGGGCAACGGCCUACCAAGGCGACGAUCAGUAGCCGACCUGAGAGGGUGACCGGCCACAUUGGGACUGAGACACGGCCCAAACUCCUACGGGAGGCAGCAGUGGGGAAUAUUGCACAAUGGGGGAAACCCUGAUGCAGCGACGCCGCGUGAGCGAAGAAGUAUUUCGGUAUGUAAAGCUCUAUCAGCAGGGAAGCGGUACCUGACUAAGAAGCACCGGCAAAUACGUGCCAGCAGCCGCGGUAAUACGUAUGGUGCAAGCGUUAUCCGGAUUUACUGGGUGUAAAGGGAGCGCAGGCGGAAGGCUAAGUCUGAUGUGAAGGCCCGGGGCUCAACCCAGGUACUGCAUUGGAAACUGGUCAUCUAGAGUGUCGGAGGGGUAAGUGGAAUUCCUAGUGUAGCGGUGAAAUGCGUAGAUAUUAGGAGGAACACCAGUGGCG
rnacentral:rRNA from 1 species